GCUCUACCCGCUCAGCCACCUGACUCCCUGGUUAUAUAAAUAUUCACAUCAAUAUAUUAUUUCAAUGUUGUCCAGUUGCCAGAUCUUGUAUGAAACGCAUCCUACUCACAUACUACAUAGGCUAUCACACAAUUUUCAACCCAUUUGUGACCGCAACCAGAGCCCGUCUAUAUUAAACAUUCUCUGCCGCAACCUACAACCCGGUUGCGCUGUUGAUAUCUCCGCAGGUAGGCGGGAGAAUUUGAAUAAUACACGGUUGAAUUUUGAUACAGAAUCACUUGUAGAAAUGGCAAAAGUCUCAGGUGGUGCUACGGCAAAAAAAACGAAAUAUAGCUGCAAAUUAACAGUAGGCUACACAGUAGCGGACUGGCCAUCGGGAGCACCGGGAGAAUUCCCGAUGGGCCAAAGCACUUCUGGGCCCGAGGGCCGCUUGCCUUAUUGUUUUUACUACUAAUAAAAAUUUCGGUAGAAGAUUGAGCAACACGGUUGGCCAACACGGUUGGCCGGCCCCCCUUUCCUCCAGGACGGCUGGUCUACAAUGACAGAUCGAAAGCUAGCUAGUAGAGACAAUAUAAAAAUGGAAAACCAGGCCAAGAAACGUAUCUAGAAAUCUUCAGAUUUUGUUUGGGCUUGUGUAUUAGAAAUUCUCUCUCGCAAAUAUCCAACUCGGUGGAGUGAGAAGGGUGGGUGGAGUUGUCUUGUGCUGCAUUCGCUUGCAGUCGUUAUUAGAAUUGUUCUCGCAGUCGCCACAACAUUUCUUUGUUUUCAAAGCUACCGACUUGGGUGGCAGCUGGGAUGGCAAGGCUAUAUUUAGGGUGGCAGUUGCCCCUGUGUUUCCAUGUUAACCAUUUAUACAACAACCACUGGCGUGUUCAGGGAGUGGCCUAGGGUGGCACGUGCCACCCCUGAAAUCUGAUUGGCCACCCCAAGUGCCACCCCAAUAUCUUAAAAUAUGAUUGGCUAUAUACCAAGUCAGAGGCGGGCCACGGCACUGAAUGUAAACUGCACUCUUGUUUAGAGUUGCAGUUCCUUCUCAAACCUGAGAGGCAGAUAUGCGCUAAAGUAGCCUGCAAAAAAAAAGGCGCUAAGAAGAAGUUUGAACGGCAAACCUACAGGUGAAACAGUCUAUGGAAGCAACACGUCUCUGGAGCGUCGUCGUGAAAGAUGUGAGUAGCCUACAUUUGACUGCACUUACUGUGCCUGUAGUUAAAAGCUGUAACGGUAAUAAGCUAAACAUUUACCCUGUCUUGUUUUAUUUCUUUUUAUUGUAAUUGGCACAAGGCUGUCGUCAUCUCAUCUAAUUAGCAAACACUGUUUGACUGUCAACGAUGCUAAAGCUAACAUUUAGCUAUUCUGUACUGCUAACAUUGUUAUGUUAGACCCGUGUAACAUCAAUUACAUUCGUGUGUAUACACCUAUCUAUUGUACAACAUAUAAGAAUGUCGUGCAUUAGGGACUAUUACAGUAUGAAAAGAAAUCAGAAUAUAAAGGAUUUCUUCCAAAGAAAGAAAUCCAAAAUAGAGCCAGAGCAGAGCAGUCAGUCAGAGGAUGAGAGCCAGUUUGUCCUGAAACAGGCUUCAGCUGUACACAUAGGUAUGUGAAAUCCUGAUGGUUCAAGUUUGUUCUCAUGUUUGAAUUUACUCAUUUGGUUUGACUGUAACAUACCACUUAGUUUACUUAGGAAAGGCUGGUUGUAUUAUCAUUCUAAUCACAGCUUAUGUAUUAUUAUAGAGUCACAUGUGGAUGCCGGUAAAGAUGAAAGACCCUCAACAUCACAUACACAUCAGGGUUUGUAUGAAUUUACCUUCUUUAAAACAUUAUGUGCAUUGAUUCAAACUGGGAUAUUUCACUUAUACUACAGUGGCAUAAACUGUCAUUAAUCCAGAGGUUCCUGCAGGCCAUGCACAUGGGGAUAAUGGUGUGGCAGCCCCAUUUGGCGGGCUCAGACCUAUUGAGUCAAAUGAAGAUUCUUGUGAUGAAGGCCCCUUACCGUCACAUACACAGCACAGUGUGUCCAGUGCUGACAAUCAAGAGGUUCCUGCAGGCCAUGCACAAGGGGAUAGUGGUGUGGCAGCCCCUUUAAGCUGGCCCGGACCUAUUGAUAUUUCACAGUCAAGAGCAGCAGGACCCACUCAGCCCCAGUUAAAGAUGUAUCCAAAAACCAUGCAAGGGGAGAAGAGGUCGUUCAAUCCAUCUUGGUACAACACGUUUUCAUGGCUUGAGUACUCACCAAUGAAAGACUGCGCUUACUGCUAUGCAUGCAGACAGUUCUCUUUGCCUAGCACGUCAGAAUCAGUUUUCACCUCAGAAUCCGGCUUUUCAAAUUGGAAAAAAGCAAUGUAUAAAGAGGCUGGCUUUAAGGUGCAUGAAAAAUCAGAUUCUCACAUUACUGCCAUGUUAGCUUGGAGUGAACACAAGAGGGCUGCACUUACAGAUGCUUCUGUAUUAAACAUGAUCAACAAAGAGUACAAAAAGAAGGUUGAAGAGAAUCGCAGUUACAUUAAAACUGUUGCAGAAGUACUGCUUUUGACAGCCACACAAAAUAUGGCACAAAGAGGGCACUGUGAGUCUGAGCAAUCUGACAACAAAGGGAAUUUCUUAGAAGUUCUUGAAAUGAUUGCUAAACACAAUCCCAUAGUAGACCAAAAAAUGAAAGCAAAAGGCAAUGCAAAAUACACAAGCAAUACCAUACAAAAUGAAAUUCUGCAGUGCUUAGCCAGUAUGGUGCAGGAUUCCAUCGUGAAAGAAGUGAGAGUGAGGUAUUCUCCAUCAUUGCUGAUGAAACCAAAGAUCUACAAAAAAAGGAGCAGCUGUCAUUAGUACUUCGAUAUUAUUACAAUGGGGCUGUUCAUGAAAGCUUCCUUGAAUUCCAGCAUGCACAAAAUCUAGAUGCUAAGGGGCUUAGUGGCAUGAUCAUCAAGUGCUUAGAAAGCUAUGGCCUUCAGUAUAAAUCAAACCUUGUUGGACAAGGUUAUGACGGCGCCUCAGUAAUGAGUGGUAAACAUUCGGGUGUGGCAGCCAGAAUUAAGACAGAGGCUAAAACUGCGUUUUAUGUCCACUGUAAUGCGCACUGUCUAAACUUGGUCUUGGUUGACACUGUAAAGUCAGUUCCAGAGGCAGAUUGUUUCUUUUCACUGCUUGAAAAGAUCUAUGUAUACAUGUCAGGCUCUUAUGUGCACCAGAAAUUUACUUACUGUCCAGAAAGAGAUGUAUGGUGGCACACCUAGAGAGUUACAAAAAUUAAGUGACACAAGAUGGGCAUGUAGAGCAGUAUCUUGCAGGAAUUUGAUGGAUAGAUUACCAGCUGUGUUGUGUGUUCUUCAAAAUAUAAGUGAAGAAAAUUACAGAGACAGGUUCAUUGAUGCUAGAGGUCUGCUUGCACAGAUUGACCUCACAUUCAUAGGCCUUACUUGCAACCUUCCGAAAAGUUUUCGGUGACACAAAGCUGCUUUCUGACCUGUUGCAGUCACCCUCAGUUGAUUUAGCUAUGGCAGCAGAAAUGGUGGAGUCACUUCUUGAUACUUUUAGGACUAUAGGACUGAGACAUUUAGUGAUAAACUGUGGCAUGACAUAGUAGAGACAGCCAAACAGUGCAACAUAGCUGUUGGGAAUGUUGAGAAGAAAAGAGCACAUAAAGUCAGCACCAAACUUGGUGGGUCGUAUGUGACAUGUACUAUAGGCCUGCGCAAGGGUAAUGCAGACAAAGACGCAUUCAGGCUGGGACUACUCUACCCCGUCCUUGACACCUUAGUUUCUGAAAUGGAAAGAAGGUUCUCAAAAAUUAACUGUUCAGUAAUGAGAGGUAUACAGGCCUUAAAUCCUAAAAGCAGUACAUUCCUCCAGGAUGACCAGGUCUUAGACUUUGGAAAAAUAUAUGGGUGUGAUAAGGAAAAUCUUACUCAUGAGCUUCACCAGGCUAGAAGAACUUUGCCAAGGAAAGCUGAGAGUGGGGCGGCACAGUUGGGAAACAUCCUAGAUUUAACAGUGUUUUUGGAACCAUACCAAAAGGUGUUUGUUGAGCUCUUCAGGCUAUGCAAAAUAGCUCUAGCCCUCCCAGUCACCAGUGCUGCACGUGAGCGGAGUUUUUCAGCUCUAAAGCUCAUUAAAACUCAUUUGAGUACAACCAUGCUAGACAACAGACUAAGCCAUUUAGGUGUGCUAAGUAUUGAGUCAAGAAGAGCGAGGGCACUCAACAUGGAUGAUUUUAUCAAAGUGUUUGCAAGCAAACACAAGAACAGGCGAAUUGCACUGUUUUAACCCUCCUGUUUACCUCAGCUUAAUAGUCCAUGAGCCAGGGGGUUGGUCGUGCCAUUUUGGAGGGAGCAAGUCUCAUGGUGAUAUUUUUUUUGAAAGGUCUAUGUGGGACAUAGACCUAUAUACUGUUCAAGUGUACCAAGUUUCAUGUGGUUGUGAAAAAGUUAAUAUCAUUCUCACAUAUCACCUGGAUUAUAACCCACUGCUACUGAAAUGGAAUUCUCUUGACCUCAGUGUCAUGACAAUGUGACCGAUGGACAGAUUAUAGUCUAAGCUUUACAAUGAUAUAUGACUUCAUGGCAUUGUGUGUUGGUUUCCCUCUUUUAUACUGGAUCUAUGUGUAAAAUGGCAAAAAAAGAUGUGAAAAUUUGAAUGAUGUUGGCAGUUUUGUCAAGUAUAUAUUUUGCCCAAAGAGUCUUAUUUAUUUUAAUUUUGUUGGCACUUUAUACAGAAAGUGCAUUGUCUUUUUUGUAUGUACUGUAUAUCAUACCUUGGAAGGUUGUUUUGAAGCUAGAAUAAAGUAUGGUAGUUUUCAAUCA